CCAUUUGGAUCGCUGAGUCCUGAUAAGGGAGCGGGGGAACCAAACGCAGGUAUGUUUUCCAUAUACUGCAUGGGGUGAAUCCCGGGAUGACCCGGGUAGGGCGACUCUUACGCCCGAAUCCGUCAGCUAACCUCGUAAGCGUGUAGGGGGAGGACUG
rnacentral:sRNA from 1 species